CCUACGGGGGGCAGCAGUGAGGAAUAUUGGUCAAUGGACGAGAGUCUGAACCAGCCAAGUAGCGUGAAGGAUGACUGCCCUAUGGGUUGUAAACUUCUUUUAUAUGGGAAUAAAAUGUUCCACGUGUGGGCUUUUGUAUGUACCAUAUGAAUAAGGAUCGGCUAACUCCGUGCCAGCAGCCGCGGUCAUACGUAGGAUCCGAGCAUUAUCCGGAGUGACUGGGUGUAAAGAGUUGCGUAGGUGGCAUAAUAAGUAGCUAGUGAAAUCUGGUGGCUCAACCAUUCAGACUAUUAGCUAAACUGUUAAGCUCGAGACCGUUAGGGGUAACUGGAAGUUCUAGUGUAGGAGUGAAAUCCGUAGAUAUUAGAAGGAACACCAAUAGCGUAGGCAGGUUGCUGGGACGGUUCUGACACUAAGGCACGAAAGCGUAGGGAGCAAACGGGAUUAGAUACCCCAGUAGUC
rnacentral:rRNA from 1 species